AUUGAACGCUGGCGGAAUGCUUUACACAUGCAAGUCGAACGGUAACAGGUCUUCGGAUGCUGACGAGUGGCGAACGGGUGAGUAAUAUAUCGGAACGUGCCCAGUCGUGGGGGAUAACGUAGCGAAAGUUACGCUAAUACCGCAUACGAUCUAUGGAUGAAAGCGGGGGAUCGCAAGACCUCGCGCGAUUGGAGCGGCCGAUAUCAGAUUAGGUAGUUGGUGGGGUAAAGGCUCACCAAGCCAACGAUCUGUAGCUGGUCUGAGAGGAUGAUCAGCCACACUGGAACUGAGACACGGUCCAGACUCCUACGGGAGGCAGCAGUGGGGAAUUUUGGACAAUGGACGCAAGUCUGAUCCAGCCAUUCCGCGUGCAGGAUGAAGGCCCUCGGGUUGUAAACUGCUUUUGUACGGAACGAAAAGGUUUCUAUUAAUACUAGGAGCUCAUGACGGUACCGUAAGAAUAAGCACCGGCUAACUACGUGCCAGCAG
rnacentral:rRNA from 1 species